CGCACAUUGCGCCCCUUGGUAUUCCAUGGGGCAUGCCUGUUCGAGCGUCAUUUGUACCCUCAAGCACUGCUUGGUGUUGGGCGUUUGUUCCGCCGUGCGCGCGAACUCGCCUCAAAUGCAUUGGCAGCCGGCCGUCCCGCGUGGGAGCGCAGCACAGUAUGCGCGCCCGGCGGCGCACGACGGCGUCCACCAGCCCUUUCACGCUUGACCUCGGAUCAGGUAGGGAUACCCGCUGAACUUAA
rnacentral:misc_RNA from 1 species